UACGAAGGGGGCUAGCGUUGCUCGGAAUCACUGGGCGUAAAGGGUGCGUAGGCGGGUCUUAAGUCAGGGGUGAAAUCCUGGAGCUCAACUCCAGAACUGCCUUCGAUACUGAGAGUCUCGAGUCCGGGAGAGGUGAGUGGAACUGCGAGUGUAGAGGUGAAAUUCGUAGAUAUUCGCAAGAACACCAGUGGCGAAGGCGGCUCACUGGCCCGGUACUGACGCUGAGGUGCGAAAGCGUGGGGAGCAACAGGAUUAGAU
rnacentral:rRNA from 1 species